GACGUAGGAUGCAAGCGUUGUCCGGAUUUAUUGGGCGUAAAGAGUUCGUAGGUGGUUUGUUAAGUCUGAUGUUAAAGACCGGGGCUCAACCUCGGAAGUGCAUUGGAUACUGGCAGACUCGAGUAUGGUAGAGGCGAGUGGAAUUCCCAGUGUAGCGGUGAAAUGCGUAGAUAUUGGGAAGAACACCGGUGGCGCAAGCGACUCGCUGGGCCAUUACUGACACUGAGGAACGAAAGCUAGGGGAGCAAAUGGG
rnacentral:rRNA from 2 species